UCAAAACUUUCAACAACGGAUCUCUUGGUUCUGGCAUCGAUGAAGAACGCAGCGAAAUGCGAUAAGUAAUGUGAAUUGCAGAAUUCAGUGAAUCAUCGAAUCUUUGAACGCACAUUGCGCCCUCUGGUAUUCCGGGGGGCAUGCCUGUUCGAGCGUCAUUAC
rnacentral:rRNA from 2 species